AUGAACGCUGGCGGCGUGCCUAAUACAUGCAAGUCGAGCGAACGGACGAGAAGCUUGCUUCUCUGAUGUUAGCGGCGGACGGGUGAGUAACACGUGGAUAACCUACCUAUAAGACUGGGAUAACUUCGGGAAACCGGAGCUAAUACCGGAUAAUAUUUUGAACCGCAUGGUUCAAAAGUGAAAGACGGUCUUGCUGUCACUUAUAGAUGGAUCCGCGCUGCAUUAGCUAGUUGGUAAGGUAACGGCUUACCAAGGCAACGAUGCAUAGCCGACCUGAGAGGGUAGUCGGCCACACUGGAACUGAGACACGGUCCAGACUCCUACGGGAGGCAGCAGUAGGGAUUCUUCCGCAAUGGGCGGAAGCCUGACGGAGCAACGCCGCGUGAGUGAUGAAGGUCUUAGGAUCGUAAAACUCUGUUAUUAGGGAAGAACAUAUGUGUAAGUAACUAUGCACAUCUAGACGGUACCUAAUCAGAAAGCCACGGCUAACUACGUG
rnacentral:rRNA from 1 species